rnacentral:rRNA from 1 species
GACGAACGCUGGCGGCGUGCUUAACACAUGCAAGUCGAACGGAAAGGCCCUGCUUUUGUGGGGUGCCCGAGUGGCGAACGGGUGAGUAACACGUGAGUAACCUGCCCUUGACUUUGGGAUAACUUCAGGAAACUGGGGCUAAUACCGGAUAGGAGCUCCUGCUGCAUGGUGGGGGUUGGAAAGUUUCGGCGGUUGGGGAUGGACUCGCGGCUUAUCAGCUUGUUGGUGGGGUAGUGGCUUACCAAGGCUUUGGCGGGUAGCCGGCCUGAGAGGGUGACCGGCCACAUUGGGACUGAGAUACGGCCCAGACUCCUACGGGAGGCAGCAGUGGGGAAUAUUGCACAAUGGGCGGAAGCCUGAUGCAGCAACGCCGCGUGCGGGAUGACGGCCUUCGGGUUGUAAACCGCUUUCGCCUGUGACGAAGCGUGAGUGACGGUAAUGGGUAAAGAAGCACCGGCUAACUACGUG